UUCAAAUUCAAUGCAGCUUUUUUGUCUUCUGGAAGAAGGAAAUAAUGGGUGUUAGGAGAGGAGAGUAGGCAGAGGAACUCAGUCAAAGAUGCAUGCUUUUGCGGCAUGGAAGAGAGGAAGAAUGCUUUUUGCAGAGUUGCUGGACGAAAUCAAUUAAUGUGCAGCAUUUUGCGCUAUGGAAGAUAAUGGGUGUUAGAAGAGUAGUAGAAGAACUUAGUUAAUG